rnacentral:rRNA from 1 species
UACACACCGCCCGUCGCACCAUGGGAGUGGGUUGUACCAGAAGUAGGUAGCCUAACCGCAAGGAGGGCGCUUACCACGGUAUGAUUCAUGACUGGGGUG